ACUGCUCAGUAACACGUGGACAACCUGCCCUUAGGACGGGGAUAAACCCGGGAAACUGGGUAUAAUACCCGAUAGGUCUCGAUUGCUGGAAUGCAUCGAGAUUUAAAGCUCCGGCGCCUAAGGAUGGGUCUGCGGCCCAUCAGGUAGUAGUGGGUGUAGCGUACCUACUAGCCUACGACGGGUACGGGUUGUGAGAGCAAGAGCCCGGAGAUGGAUUCUGAGACACGAAUCCAGGCCCUACGGGGUGCAGCAGGCGCGAAAACUUUACAAUGCUGGCAACAGCGAUAAGGGAACCUCGAGUGCCAGGUUACAAAUCUGGCUGUCGAGAUGCCUAAAAAGCAUUUCAUAGCAAGGGCCGGGCAAGACCGGUGCCAGCAGCCGCGGUAAUAC
rnacentral:rRNA from 1 species